AACGAACGCUGGCGGCAUGCCUAACACAUGCAAGUCGAACGAGACCUUCGUGUCUAGUGGCGCACGGGUGCGUAACGCGUGGGAACCUGCCCUUAGGUUCGGAAUAACUCCCCGAAAGGGGUGCUAAUACCGGAUAAUGUCUUCGGACCAAAGAUUUAUCGCCUUUGGAUGGGCCCGCGUUGGAUUAGCUAGUUGGUAGGGUAAAAGCCUACCAAGGCGACGAUCCAUAGCUGGUCUGAGAGGAUGAUCAGCCACACUGGGACUGAGACACGGCCCAGACUCCUACGCGAGGGAGGAGUGGGGAAUAUUGGACAAGGGGGGAAAGCCUGAUCAAGCAAUGCCGGGUGAGUGAUGCAGGCCGUAGGGUAGUAAAGCUCUUUUACACGGGACGAUAAUGACAGUACCGGGAGAAUAAGCACCGGCUAACUACGUG
rnacentral:rRNA from 1 species